GACGUUACCGACAGAAUAAGCACCGGCUAACUCUGUGCCAGCAGCCGCGGUAAUACAGAGCGUUACCGACNGAAUAAGCACCGGCUAACUCUGUGCCAGCAGCCGCGGUAAUACAGAGGGUGCAAGCGUUAAUCGGAAUUACUGGGCGUAAAGCGCGCGUAGGUGGUUUGUUAAGUUGGAUGUGAAAUCCCCGGGCUCAACCUGGGAACUGCAUUCAAAACUGACUGACUAGAGUAUGGUAGAGGGUGGUGGAAUUUCCUGUGUAGCGGUGAAAUGCGUAGAUAUAGGAAGGAACACCAGUGGCGAAGGCGACCACCUGGACUAAUACUGACACUGAGGUGCGAAAGCGUGGGGAGCAAACANGAUUAGAUACCCUGGUAGUCCACNCCGUAAACGAUGUCAACUAGCCGUUGGAAGCCUUGAGCUUUUAGUGGCGCAGCUAACNCAUUAAGUUGACCGC
rnacentral:rRNA from 1 species